rnacentral:lncRNA from 1 species
AGCCACCAAAUGAAAUUGAUUUGCUUUUACAGUGAGAUCAGAACUAAGUUAUAUAACUAGCAAUUCCUUGUUAUUUCCAUGAUGGAAGUUCAACUUUCCAAAAUCUAACAUAAGAUCAAACCUUAAUAUUCUCUAUUUAAAGAAAGAUAGUUCACAUAAUAAGCACAACAUUACUGAUCAAAUGUUCACUACACUAACAGAAGCUUUGGGUCAGCCCAGUAUGUAAUUCGCCAUCACUCCUCGCAGCAGCUUCAACGCUUUUUUUCUUCCCUCUUUAAGAGAUGAUUUAAAUGUUAAUACUUAACAGUUAGAAGAACUAGAAGCUUUUAUUCCUUCAGAUGCUG